rnacentral:rRNA from 1 species
AGAGUUUGAUCCUGGCUCAGGACGAACGCUGGCGGCGCGCCUAACACAUGCAAGUCGAACGGAGCUUAAAGAGCUUGCUUUUUAAGCUUAGUGGCGAACGGGUGAGUAACGCGUGAGUAACCUGCCCUGGAGUGGGGGACAACAGUUGGAAACGACUGCUAAUACCGCAUAAGCCCACGGAUCCGCAUGGAUCUGCGGGAAAAGGAUUUAUUCGCUUCAGGAUGGACUCGCGUCCAAUUAGCUAGUUGGUGAGGUAACGGCCCACCAAGGCGACGAUUGGUAGCCGGACUGAGAGGUUGAACGGCCACAUUGGGACUGAGACACGGCCCAGACUCCUACGGGAGGCAGCAGUGGGGGAUAUUGCACAAUGGGGGAAACCCUGAUGCAGCGACGCCGCGUGGAGGAAGAAGGUCUUCGGAUUGUAAACUCCUGUUGUUGAGGAAGAUAAUGACGGUACUCAACAAGGAAGUGACGGCUAACUACGUGCCAGCAGCCGCGGUAAAACGUAGGUCACAAGCGUUGUCCGGAAUUACUGGGUGUAAAGGGAGCGCAGGCGGGAAGACAAGUUGGAAGUGAAAUCCAUGGGCUCAACCCAUGAACUGCUUUCAAAACUGUUUUUCUUGAGUAGUGCAGAGGUAGGCGGAAUUCCCGGUGUAGCGGUGGAAUGCGUAGAUAUCGGGAGGAACACCAGUGGCGAAGGCGGCCUACUGGGCACCAACUGACGCUGAGGCUCGAAAGUGUGGGUAGCAAACAGGAUUAGAUACCCUGGUAGUCCACACCGUAAACGAUGAUUACUAGGU